UGUGUUGGGUACGGCCACUAAGCGACGACGGGUAGCCGGCCUGANAGGCGACCGGCCCACUGGGACUGAGACACGGCCCAGACUCCUACGGGAGGCAGCAGUGGGGAAUAUUGCGCAAUGGGCGAAAGCCUGACGCAGCGACGCCGCGUGCGGGAUGAAGGCCUUCGGGUUGUAAACCGCUUUCAGCAGGGACGAAGCGAAAGUGACGGUACCUGCAGAAGAAGCGCCGGCUAACUACGUGCCAGCAGCCGCGGUAACACGUAGGGCGCAAGCGUUGUCCGGAAUUAUUGGGCGUAAAGAGCUCGUAGGUGGUCCGCUACGUCUGUUGUGAAAAUCCAGGGCUUAACCCUGGACUUGCUGCGGAUACGGGCGGACUAGAGGUAGGUAGGGGAGAAUGGAAUUCCCGGUGUAGCGGUGAAAUGCGCAGAUAUCGGGAGGAACACCGGUGGCGAAGGCGGUUCUCUGGGCCUUACCUGACACUGAGGAGCGAAAGCGUGGGGAGCGAACAGGAUUAGAUACCCUGGUAGUCCACGCCGUAAACGUUGGGCGCUAGGUGUGGGGUCCUUCCACGGAUUCCGUGCCGCANCUAACGCAUUAAGCGCCCCGCCUGGGGAGUACGGCCGCAAGGCUAAAACUCANAGGAAUUGACGGNGGCCCGCACAANCGGCGGANCAUGUUGCUUAAUUCNAANCANCNCNAANAACCUUACCAAGGUUUGA
rnacentral:rRNA from 1 species